rnacentral:rRNA from 1 species
UACGAAGGGGGCUAGCGUUGCUCGGAAUCACUGGGCGUAAAGGGUGCGUAGGCGGGUCUUUAAGUCAGGGGUGAAAUCCUGGAGCUCAACUCCAGAACUGCCUUCGAUACUGGCGAUCUUGAGUCCGGAAGAGGUGAGUGGAACUCCUAGUGUAGAGGUGGAAUUCGUAGAUAUUAGGAAGAACACCAGUGGCGAAGGCGGCUCACUGGUCCGGUACUGACGCUGAGGUGACGAAGCGUGGGGAGCAAACAGG